CUGCAGGGAUCCUGAGCUGGGGGCAGCUCAGCUUCUGGGAAGUGCUGGAGCUGGAUGUACGAAGCACCUGGCUGUCAUUUCUGGCUGUUACCUAGAAACAUCACUCAACUUCCAGUGCUCUCUCUCCCCUUUUACCCACCGAGUCCUUAGCUGCUCUGAAGAUUGCCUGGAUGACAGAUCCGCUUUGAAGACGGUUAUACCCCUCUGCAAAGCAACGGAGCUCUCCUCUUAGAAAUAGCUGUGUUGAAGGACAGUGACUGGGAGCAGGAUGAGAAGCUGAGCCGAUGUCAACAGCCUUUGAUCCCGUUUGGCAAGUAUCUGGGGUGGGCACUGCUUGUUCUUAAUGUUUCUGAUCGUAUUGCACUGAAGCAUAGGAAAUGUUCUUUGCUUGAUGAGUUUUGCUGUACCUCCUCCAGAUGUAGUGAUGGGCAGCCUGCCUGGAACAGCUCAGAACAGGGAUGUGGGGACCACAGCAGCAAGC